UACGUAGGAGGCUAGUGUUAGUUAUCUUUAUUGGGUUUAAAGGGUAAGUAGACGGUAAAUUAAACUCUAAAUGAGUACUUUUUUACUAGAGUUAUAUGAGAGAAGGAAGAAUUUCUGGAGUAGAGAUAAAAUUUGAUGAUACCAGGAGGACUGGCAACGGCGAAGGCGUCCUUCUAUGUAAUAACUGACGUUGAGAGACGAAGGCUUGGGUAGCAAACAGG
rnacentral:rRNA from 1 species